rnacentral:rRNA from 1 species
CCGGCGACCGGCGCACGGGUGAGUAACACGUAUGCAACCUGCCCUCUUCAGGGGGACAACCUUCCGAAAGGGAGGCUAAUCCCGCGUAUAUCGGUUUCGGGCAUCCGAGAUCGAGGAAAGAUUCAUCGGAAGAGGAUGGGCAUGCGGCGCAUUAGCUAGACGGCGGGGUAACGGCCCACCGUGGCGACGAUGCGUAGGGGUUCUGAGAGGAAGGUCCCCCACACUGGUACUGAGACACGGACCAAACUCCUACGGAAGGCAGCAG